CUACGGGAGGCAGCAGUAAGGAAUAUUGCGCAAUGGGCGAAAGCCUGACGCAGCGACGCCGCGUGGGGGAUGAAGGUCUUCGGAUUGUAAACCCCUUUCGGGAGGGAAGAUGGAGCGAGCAAUCGUUCGGACGGUACCUCCAGAAGCAGCCACGGCCAACUUCGUGCCAGCAGCCGCGGUAAUACGAAGGUGGCAAGCGUUGUUCGGAUUCACUGGGCGUACAGGGUGUGUAGGCGGUUUGGUAAGCCUUCUGUUAAAGCUUCGGGCCCAACCCGGAAAGCGCAGAGGGUACUGCCAGGCUAGAGGGUGGGAGAGGGGCGGGGAAUUCCCGGUGUAGCGGUGAAAUGCGUAGAGAUCGGGAGGAAGGCCGGUGGCGAAGGCGGCGCUCUGGAACAUACCUGACGCUGAGACACGAAAGCGUGGGGAGCAAACAGGAUUAGAAACCGUAGUAGUCC
rnacentral:rRNA from 1 species